rnacentral:rRNA from 1 species
UGCCGAGAAAAGCCUCUAGAUAGAAAAUAGGUGCCCGUACCGCAAACCGACACAGGUAGUCAAGAUGAGAAUUCUAAGGUGAGCGAGCGAACUCUCGUUAAGGAACUCGGCAAAAUGACCCCGUAACUUCGGGAGAAGGGGUGCUCUUUAGGGUUAACGCCCAGAAGAGCCGCAGUGAAUAGGCCCAAGCGACUGUUUAUCAAAAACACAGGUCUCUGCUAAACCGUAAGGUGAUGUAUAGGGGCUGACGCCUGCCCGGUGCUGGAAGGUUAAGAGGAGUGGUUAGCUUCUGCGAAGCUACGAAUCGAAGCCCCAGUAAACGGCGGCCGUAACUAUAACGGUCCUAAGGUAGCGAAAUUCCUUGUCGGGUAAGUUCCGACCCGCACGAAAGGCGUAACGAUUUGGGCACUGUCUCAACGAGAGACUCGGUGAAAUCAUAGUACCUGUGAAGAUGCAGGUUACCCGCGACAGGACGGAAAGACCCCGUGGAGCUUUACUGUAGCCUGAUAUUGAAAUUCGGCACAG